rnacentral:rRNA from 1 species
ACGCUCGACACCUACUGGAGGCAGCAGUGGGGAAUAUUGCACAAUGGAGGAAACUCUGAUGCAGCGAUGCCGCGUGAGGGAAGAAGGUUUUCGGAUUGUAAACCUCUGUCUUUGGGGACGAUAAUGACGGUACCCAAGGAGGAAGCUCCGGCUAACUACGUGCCAGCAGCCGCGGUAAUCUGAGCGGGCUGGCAAGGC